rnacentral:tRNA from 2 species
UCCGAUAUGGUGUAGUGGCCAACAUGAUGCCCUCUCAAUUCGCAGUAUUCCACUGUGAAACGGCAAGGCAUAGCCCCGAGUUCGAUUCUCGGUUUCGGAA